AAGCAACCAAAAGUGUAGUUUAAGCUACGGCCACACCAGCGCGUCAUGAACGCGGGAUGCGUGACGCGAUGCGGGAGCGUCUCUUUCCAUUCUAAUGUCGCGGCUACAAUAAGGUCAAUGCCUAACAACGCCAUAAUUAUCGCGAUAAUCAACGCAUUAAACUGAGUGGCCACACUUGAACGGUUGACGUCUAAUGCCAGUUGAAUUGGAGUUAAAAUAGUCUAACGCCAAACGGCAUUGUGUAUGGCUACAUCUACGUUUAACGGGAAACGCCGUUGAACAUCGCGUGGUUGGCCGUUAAUGUGGCUGGGACAUGAUGGUGAUGGUGAUAGAUUAAUUAUGAACUGAGUAUACCCAGAUAAUGUGAAUAGGUUACCUUAUUAGUUUAUUUUUGAC